UACAUGUGGGGCAAGCGUUGUUCGGAAUUACUGGGCAUAAAGGGUGCGUAGGCGGCUUGAUAAGUCAGUGGUGAAAUCGUCCGGCCCAACCGGACACGUGCCAAUGAUACUGUCGAGCUUGAGUGCGUGAGGGGUGGGGGGAACGAGCAGUGUAGCGGUGAAAUGCGUAGAUAUCGGGAGGAAUACCUAUGGCGAAAGCAGGCUACUGGACCGUCACUGACUCUGAUCUGCGAAAGCUAGGGGAGCAAACAGG
rnacentral:rRNA from 1 species